ACAUGCAGGAAUUUGUGCCACACAUUUCAACAAUUUCCUUAAUGGAUUGAAUGUACUUUCUGCGAAUUCAUCAGCCAUACUUAAAGAAAAAGGAGAAUGAAACUGGAAAGAAAAAUUUGUAGUUGCAAAAGAAUCCUGUUAAUAAUUUCAAAAGAAGAAACAGUUUUAAACAUGGUUAAUUUAAUGAAUAGUUGGAAGGUUGAAGCUAGUUUUGUUGCAGAAUGGCAAAUGUUUGGUACUGGUUGAAACUAUGAAAGUAAUACAGGUCUCAUGGUCAUCAUUAAACAGCAGGUUUAUAACAGCAGUUUUGCAGAAAAAUGAAGGAUGGCUGUCAAUGGUAAAUGCAGCAUCAGAAUGUUCCCCAGGAAAAAAAUAUGCCAAAAAUUUAACAUAGUUUGAAUUAGAAAUAAGAAAGGC